CACCUUCGACUCUCGGACUGCGCAAGAAUUAACAUAAUGGCGUCUUUAUUUCAAACGUCUUAUUCUUCCUUUGUCACUUCAAAACUAUCCAACUGUUUAACUUCACAAGUUUAUAGGCCGUGUCCGAGUUGAAGCCGGAGGAGAUGACGUAACGCCACCAAAUGUAAGUGAACCUUGGAGGCCACGAUGGCGACAAAGCACGCGCACUUCUGGACGGAGCAGUCGUGAGGGCCCCCGUCCAGUUUGCCAAGUGAGCUCUUUGCUGGGAUGUUGUGAUCGUCAGGACUUCCUGUCCGUGAUCCAAAGACUUGGAUGGAUACUAGCUGUCCCAAUUCAGGGUCUGCAUCUGAAUUUGAAGGCUGUCCCAAUUCAUUCAAACUCGAAAACUCCUCCAAAUGCACCCUUUUUCCCUAUCCUUCGUGGCCUCCCAUAUCCCAAGAUGCUUUGCGCGCCUUUGUUCAACCUGGCUCUCUUUGGCCACGGUGGCAAAGCAGCAGCACCCAAUACUUUGAAAUGAAAGUAUCCUCUGCAGGGUAGACUGUCCCAUUUAACGCAUCCUUCUGAAGCUGCGUAGGCCGGCAUCCUCUGAAGGAUGCAGACCCUGAAUUCGGGAUGGUUCCUGCUGGCCCCACCAUGGACUGGACUUUCGCUGAUGUGUUGGACUUUCACAAUAUUAUGUCAGACCUACUCCACAUCCAUUGCUUUCGGUCUCUCCUAGAGGGGGGGGGGUUACCCACAUAUGCGGUCCUCUCCAAGGUUUCUCAUAGUCAUUCACAUUGACGUCCCACUGGGGUGAGUUUUCCUUGCCAGUAUGUGGGCUCUGUACAGAGGAUGUCGUUGUGGCUUGUGCAGCCCUUUGAGACACUUGUGAUUUAGGGCUAUAUAAACAAACGAUUGAUUGAUUGAAUUGGGACACAGCUACUGAUUGAAAACAUGACUAACUUCAUUAAAUAAUACUUCUCAAUGAUCUGUGUACUUUUCUACAACUAUAUGCAAUACCGUGCGGGCUAACUUUCAUUUGUUGUCAUCUGCUGUCAUCUAGUGGAUGUUUUGUUGUACUGUUAAGUCAAUUUAAACUAGAAAGCUCAAUUGUCACUGGUAUUAUUAAUCAUAACACAUACAGUGGUGUGUGACAAAGUUAAACUUAGAUUUAAUUCAAGUAGAAUACUUGAUAAUCUGUAGUCUUAUACGACAUUAAGUCCAUUUAAUUCAUGCAUUUACAAUGUUUGUGUCCUACAGUUUCACCCUUUCAAUUGUCAAUAAACCUGGCCUCCCAUCAGUCAACCUGGUGUUCAGAGUUUUGACGAGCGGAAGGUGUUGAACUUACUGCCUUCGUGUAAAAGUGUGCUUAAGGAAGGUAGGAUAAAUACAAUUCAACAUACAAUAACACAUAUUGGUGUAAAAAUACAAUGUAAAGUUGAAUGACAUGUAGAUAUUUGUAAUUUUUUUAGAAUA